AUUUUCUUGGUACAGGUGCAUAAAUCGCUGUGGAAAAAAAGGGUAAUAUUUUGAAUUUACAUAAUCACUGAUUUAGGCUUAUCAAAUGUGCAAUAAUUUUUGAAGACGAAGGUCACUUGUGGAACGUGUGACAAAAGACUGUGUGUAUAAAAUUCGGGAAGUUGGUUUGUAAAUUAAUUGAAUGAACUACGGGGAUAGAUACACAUAGCCUAUCAACAUGUUCUCUGAUAAACUCGUUAUCUUUUUGGCUGUGAUUCAAGGUUUCCAUUGUUUGCCAGCUGUAUCAGAACGAAGAGUCAGUUCUGCUCAUCAAUUUUCUAAUGCUGAUAGUUUGAGAUGUAUGCAAGCAACAGAAAGAUGUAUGGCCCCAUUAAAUUUUUUACGUGACGCUUUUGUAAAACUAGAUUUUUCUUCUGUAACUGCAUCACAAGUUAACGGUUUCUGCAGUGCCCAUUUGGAGCAUGCCACAGCAUGUCUUAGAGAUAUUGUUUGUGCCAUUCCUAUGCCACAUCUGAAGGUUAUAUCUAGAUUGAUUAACUGGCUUUGUUCAACCAAAGACGAUUUCAUCAAAAGUAAGUCGUGUUUUACAUCUGAGAGCUUCAGGGUGCAUGCUAAGCCAUGUUUUACACCACCUACAAUGAUGUGUACCAGUGGUAACUGCCCUACACCUUAUUCUUCAUUGGCAGCAUGUCUGGCCCCACACCUUCAACAAGACCAAAACUGUACAUCAGAACACAUCAGCUACAUUUCUAGAUAUUUCCAAAAUCUCGAUAUGAGAAAUGUUUAGUAAGCUAGAUCUAAUUGGAAAGAGAAAAUUAAUAUGGUGACCUGUGUGUCAAUGAUUUAUAGAAAAGGUUUUUUGUUACUCUGUAAACGUGAACGGAUUUCUGAACGAUAUUAUUUUAUAGUAAUAUUUUUUACGGCAUUAUCUCAUAAUCUAUCCAUUUUUCGUAUUGUAUCACACAGCAAUGUAUUGUCUGCAUCAAAAACGCAUCAUGAAGAAACUCAUAUAUCUAUACUAUGUCAUGUUUUGUAUUCAUUGAAAAUGUUAAUAAAUAAAAUGUUAAAGAAUUGGUGUACAUAUUUUGUAAGCCCAAGAGGGCAAACCCUCUACAAUCUGUUCAUCACAACUUGGGUGUGUACCUUGGUUAGGAUCUCGUGGACACUGACCUUGGAUCGCAUCGAGAAAAGUAUCAUUUUUCCCGCUAAAUUUAGAUGUUCAGCGUUACUACAAUAUAUGUAAAUACUUAUUAAGAUUAUUAUAGGAAUGGUAGACGGAAAUUGUUGCGACUGUAGCUCGUUGGUCUCAGUCAAUAAUUGAUAUAUAUAUACUUUCUUAACGUCUUACUUUUCGGUACCUGCUGGACUAAUGAAGGCGGACAUGCAAAUUUGUUAACGUGCUGACAGUGGUAUACACGGCACCCCCGGGUCUAAGUGAAGGUGGUGCAUUUUGCGUCAUAGGUUUGAGUUUUGUUCCCCCAAUGAAAUGUGGUUUCACUUCAAUGUAUUUUCAAUGCUAUGAUCAUAAUCAUAAUGCUCAAUUGCUCAUGAACCAGUGUCAAAGAUUUAGUGUGACUCAGAUACGCUACAAAUCGACACCUACCAUGUCCCACAAAGCCCCGAAUUUCUCAGCGUCUGGGGCAGAGAAUCCUUCCUAAUGAUAUAAAUAUUAAGUUUUUGUGCCCCCACAGGAUCUGGUUUCUCAUGCAAAAUCACCCGUCACCAAUCUGCAGACUGACAAGAAUUGGAAAGUCCCACAGAACAAUCUCGGCCAACACCGGGAUUGAACGUAUAGCAGCUCCUGUUUAGUGAGCCUCCCUGGGUCCCUUGGAUUUCUGAAGUUGUACUGUGGAUAAAAUGACUUAAAUGUAGUUAAGCGUUUACGACACGUUAAAUUCUUUUCAUCUCUUUAUAAAAUGGAAAUUGUUGAUAUAGUUUUAUUGAUAAUGUUUGAGGGCGUAUCCUGUUUUUACUUGUGACGAAAUAAGAAUAGGUUUGCCAUAGAUAAGAAAACGGUAGGCUAAGGAUUCGUCUUCCACCCACGAUAAUACCGAGAGUAUAAUAGACCAACACACGAUUCAUAAUGUUAGCGUAUUAUAUAUUAUUAUAGGGAAUUCAACAGGGUCAGUUAUUUUUAGAAGGGACUCGUGUGACGAUACAGUCAGUUGGUUAUGUACAUGUACAUAUAAGCGCACGUUUAUUUGUUGACGACACACCUGCUGAGUGUGGACUGUUAUUACACAACGGAUAUACUUUACCUCAGUGAAUAGCCGGAACUUCAAGAAGAGACAUGGCAAC